rnacentral:rRNA from 1 species
CAUCGAAGGUGUCCUGCGAGGGAUGUUGGAGCGGCUGGAAGCGAAACUGUAGGCAUGAGUAACGAUAAGAAGGGUGAAAAACCCUUCCACCGUAAACCCAAGGGUUCCUGAUCAACGCUAAUCGGAUCAGGGUUAGUCGGGACCUAAGACGAACCCGAAAGGGGUAGUCGAUGGACAACAGGUCAAUAUUCCUGUACUAGCAAUAAUUGCGAUGGGGUGACGGAGUAGUGAAAGC